UCUCUUCCUGGAGCGAAGAACGUGGGGAUGACACCAAAAAACCACCUUGAUUUGGCUUUUCUCGCCCCCAUCCCGAGGUUUUUCCCUCUGGAUCCCGGUGGAUUCCGGGCUCCUUUUGGUGUCUGUGGGUAUUGUGACCUUCUGUUGUGUCACCACAGAGGGGUUGGGGACCCCCAGCCGGGCUCAGAGGGGUAAAAAAAAAGGGAUGCAACCCCAAAAUCUCCUCGUUUUUGGCCCCUGCUGAGCGUGUCCUUGGGGCAGGUCCCUGUCCCAGGGGGACAAUUCCAUCCCUUUCUGCUCCUUGGACUGUUCUCAGCAGCUGGGAGGACACCAGACCUGGGAUUUGGUUCCACUCCCACAAAAAUCUGGGGCUUGACACCCCCCGCCUCCACCCUCCACCAUUUAAAAAAAAAAUAAUAAAAAAUAUUCUCCUAAUAACUAAAGGCCUAUUUUCCACAUACUUGAAUUUCCAGCACAGUUUGGACUCUUUUUGAGGGACUUUAAAGGCACUUUAACUGUCUUUUACUGCAAUGUAUUUACUAUGGAUUUACCUGCAUGGAAUAAGGAGUCUGGAUAUGAAAUAAAAACCUCCUUCCUUUUGGA